UAAAGUGGACUCGAUGCCCACUCCAAUUACAAAUGCUGAGAAACUCAUUUCGAGUGUCUUGGAAGCAGAACGCCCAACAAUAAGUAUUUUGCAUGAGAAAUCUCUGAUCGAGGCGAACAAGAUUUUCUUAGAGAAACAUAAAGAUUCCUUAAUGCACAGAGCGGCUGCUGCAUAACUACUGUAUGCUUUAC